GGCUAACGCUGGCGGCGCGCCUAACACAUGCAAGUCGAACGAGGCUCUUUUGGUUUACUAGAAGAUGUCCUAGUGGCAGACGGGUGAGUAACGCGUGAGUAAUGUGCCUCUUUUCUGGGGAUACCGUUUGGAAACGAACGUUAAUACCGAAUGUGAUGUAACUGCGGCAUCGUAGUUUCAUUAAACUGUUAGGGAGAAGAGAGCAACUCGCGUACUAUCAGCUAGAUGGUGGGGUAACGGCCUACCAUGGCGACGACGGUUAACUGGUCUGAGAGGAUGAUCAGUCACACUGGAACUGAGACACGGUCCAGACUCCUACGGGAGGCAGCAGUGAGGAAUCUUGCACAAUGGGCGAAAGCCUGAUGCAGCGACGCCGCGUGAGGGACGAAGGCCUUCGGGUUGUAAACCUCUGUCAGUAGGGAAGAAGAAUGACGGUACCUACUGAGGAAGCUUCGGCUAACUACG
rnacentral:rRNA from 1 species